rnacentral:rRNA from 1 species
UCCUCCCUCUUUCUUCGUGCUUAACACAUGCAAGUCGAACGGAAAGGCCCUGCUUGCAGGGUGCUCGAGUGGCGAACGGGUGAGUAACACGUGGGUGAUCUGCCCCUUACUUUGGGAUAAGCCUGGGAAACUGGGUCUAAUACUGGAUAGGACCAUGCUGUAGGUGGUGUGGUGGAAAGAUUAGUUUCGGUAAGGGAUGAGCUCGCGGCCUAUCAGCUUGUUGGUGGGGUAAUGGCCUACCAAGGCGUCGACGGGUAGCCGGCCUGAGAGGGUGGACGGCCACAUGGGGACUGAGAUACGGCCCAGACUCCUACGGGAGGCAGCAGUGGGGAAUAUUGCACAAUGGGCGCAAGCCUGAUGCAGCGACGCCGCGUGGGGGAUGACGGCCUUCGGGUUGUAAACUCCUUUCAGCCAUGACGAAGCCCUUGUGGUGACGGUAGUGGUAGAAGAAGCACCGGCUAACUACGUG